rnacentral:rRNA from 1 species
UAUUGGUCAAUGGACUCGAGUCUGACCCAGCCAAGUAGCGUGAAGGAUGAUUGCCCUAUGGGUUGUAAACUUCUUUUAUAUGGGAUUAAAGUUUUCCACGUGUGGAAUUUUGUAUGUACAAUAUGAAUAAGGAUCGGCUAACUCCGUGCCAGCAGCCGCGGUAAUACGGAGGAUCCGAGCGUUAUCCGGAGUUAUUGGGUUUAAAGGGAGCGUAGGUGGACAGUUAAGUCAGUUGUGAAAGUUUGCGGCUCAACCGUAAAAUUGCAGUUGAUACUGGCUGUCUUGAGUACAGUAGAGGUGGGCGGAAUUCGUGGUGUAGCGGUGAAAUGCUUAGAUAUCACGAAGAACUCCGAUUGUGAAGGCAGCUCACUGGACUGCAACUGGCACUGAUGCUCGAAAGUGUGGGUAUCAAACAG